AAGACAGUUUACUCAUUUGCUCUCUCCUUUCAUGCAGUCAGCUGGCCCUCUUCUCAGGUGUAGAUCACCUAACCUAUUAUCAUUUCACCUGUUUUGAUUCUCUGAUGAGGAAAGUCCCAGGACUUAUCAGCUGGGAUAGGCCUCAUUUACAAGACAGCUCUGUUCAGUGUGUGGAAGAAAGAAAAACCUGACAGGUUUCUCUGGAAAAGUGGCCUUCUGUGGAAUGAAUGAAAUGUUCCCUUUCUAUUCCAUUGCUGUGAAUGGCUUGGAACAUGCAAAAUACGCUAAGCAAGAAACACAGCCCGUACCUGAAGAGUUAGCAGUUGAA